rnacentral:misc_RNA from 1 species
CUGAGUGAGGGCCUUCGGGCUCGACCUCCAACCCUUUGUGAACACCAACUUGUUGCUUCGGCGGGGCGACCCUGCCGUUUCGACGGCGAGCGCCCCCGGAGACCAUCAAACACUGCAUCUUUGCGUCGGAGUUUAAGUAAAUUAAAC